AACAAAGUAGACAUUAUUGAAAAGAGACCCAUUGAAAUUGCAGCAUUUCAAUCUUUAGAAAGAAGAAGCAUAGAGCUGGAGAACAUUUUGCCAGGAAGGUCUGCUGCUAAUGUCAUCCCACCAAGCACUCACAUGUUUCCUGCUCCUUAUCAUAUACUCCUUUCCAAUUUGGUCCACCAAGUACUGAGUAAAUGGCAGAUGGCUAAGGUCAGCAAGGCUGAAGAAAUCACCAGCUAAGUACUUGUUCUUUGAUAGCCUAUCCUCGUAAACAUCCAGCACUUUGGCAAGCUUUUCCUCGUUCUCUUUGAUCAAAUUUUCAUCAGGAGGGAUCCCCAACUUGGGCGAAAGCAUGAUUUGAACAGUUAGGGCGAAAACUGGUGGGUUGUAGUUGUUUGCCUCAACGUCUAGCCAAUUUUCCACUAUACCCCUUUCCUCUAUUGUCUUUCCCAGCAGAUCAGUUCCCUGUGACUUGUAUUUUUCUGCAUAAUACCUCAAGAUGGCACGGGAUUCUGCACAACCCACAUUAUAAAAUUCAUCAUUUCAUUUCAUUUCAUUAAAAGAAAAAAAAAUUCUUGUUAGAAAGUGAUUCAGAUUAAUGGCAAAAGAGUAAGCACUCACAAAUUCAACUCUUCCUAGAUAGUUUGUGAGGCUUAGAUGAUCAUAUUCUUGCCAUUAUAUAUAGACAUAUUAAUAUGUAAAAAUCUUGUCCAAGAGUUCAAGUGAAAUUCUCCCUGACUGUCACUUUCAUUAUAAAUCAAAAUGAUAAUGGUAAAAGCCUUUUAAGUGAUACUGAGUGGAACCCACUUUUUCUAUCUUCGUGCAAGAUUUACUUCAAUAAUUGAUGCUGAUGCAUAGUAACUAAACCUGAUCAUGGAUCAGGUAGGAUUAAUUCAAAAGUCCUACUUAGGGCCCAACCCAGUCUGUCUGAGUCCAAGAGACCCAUUAUUUUAAAAUAUAUUAAAUAUUUAAAAUAUCUGAAAAUCUUAUUAUUUUAAAUAUAUUUUAAAAUUAAAAUCAAAUAAAAAUAAAUUUUAUUAAUAAAAUAAAAUUUCAGGUCAAGAUCGGAUAUAUCUAAAAUUUGAUUCGAGCUCAAUUAGACUAGCAAAUCAGACAAAUAUCUCAAAUAAUGGAUAUUUUUAAUUUAAUAGGAUUAUUUUUUUUUUUCAGCACAAUCUGAUGCCAAACUCAAAAAAUUCAUCUAAAACUCUUUUUUCUUUUAUGAUCAUAAUUUUAUAUAUUUUUCAUUUUAUCUUUUCAAUACAAUCACAAAACGAAUAUGAAACACUACAAACUAGAUGAAUUGUUAAGAGGCAGAGUAUUAUUAACAAACACUCAAUUCAAUGAUUCCAUGAGCUAUAAUUAAUGGUUCAUUUGAUAUGUGUUGGGGAGAAGAUAUGAUCAUGUCAAUUUACAGGUAAUUAGAGAAAGGAUAUUAAUUACCAAAUAAAGUAUAGUCUCCAUCUUGAACGACAGGAACUGUGCCAAAAGGCUGCAAAAAUCAGAAAACAAGAGAUGAUUGUAAACAUGAUCCUCACUGAGAACUUGGAACUUUUGAAAGAAAAGAAGGAAAAGGUUUAGCUGACCUGCAACUUGAGAAAUUCAGGGUGUUUGUUCUCGCCUUUGAGCAAAUCAAUCGGCACAGUCUCAAACUCAAUCUCCUUUUCAAUAAGACACACAAGCACACGCUUAGGGGAAGCAUAGGCUGGGCCAUAAACCUUCACCACCAUUGUUGUUGAUUGACUGUUUUACUUAUUGAAUUGUUCAAUGCAUAUCACUGAGUUUAUGGCCUCAUCAAUUUUAUAGAACUGGCUGCAAUCAUAGAUGUUCUUUAGUGUCGGAGGGUGGGACAUGACAGCUCCUCUGAUUUUACCUAUUUAGACCUUACAUACCUAAAAUAAACUUAUUAAAGUGCCUAAUUUAGGGGAAAUUUAUCAUUAUAUAACUUUAUAGAUAAAAAUAUAAUUUCUUUCCUUCGAAUUAUUAGGAUCGAUACUUUCAGCAUUAAAAUCAAAUUUAUCAUUAUAUUACGAUUCAUUAUUGAAUUUUAUCGGUAUACAUUUAAUUUCAAUGAUUUUUAGAUAAAAAGCAAGUAACGAAAUUAAAAUAUUUCAAUAAUACAAUUGAUUUUUUUUUCAAUUUCAUAACUUUUUGCCUAAAAAUCCACAAAAUUGAAAAAGUAAUAGCAAGAUUCAAUGAAAUUGAAAUUCAAUAUUUAACUUAAUAGUAUAAUGAUGAUAAAUUUAUCCUUAAUCCCAAUAUAUAUAUAUAUAUAUAUAUUCUGAUUUCAAUAUAACAUGUCAUGAUAUUUUCUUUCACAAUUGAAAUAGCAUUAAUAAUGAAUUCAAAAUUUAAAUAGGCUAAUUUAUAUAAUUAUUUUUAAAAUAUAAUAUUUAAUAUGUUUAAAAUUUAAAUUUAAGCAUAUAUAAUUCAUUCUUUUAUCCUUAAAGUAAGAUUCUUUUUAUAUAAAAAAAAUCUUUAGUGUAAGUAAUAAAAUAAAAAUUUUCAUUAAGUUUUCAAGUUGUAUGAAUUUAUAAUUGAUGUUAUACCUUUAGGUCAAGACUCAAGGGAUAGAGCUAGGUUGCCUAAAAGAAGAGUGUCCGUCAUAAUUAAAAUUUUUUUUUUAUUUAUUCUCAUAAUUGAAGAUUUUGAUAAUUAUCCGCUCAUUUUUUUCCUUGGGAUCAGCACGACCAUUGGAUGGGCCGCAUACAUAGAAAAGACAUGAUUUGUGGUUUUGAUGUUUCUCUUUGUUAGUUAAUGGAAGUAACUUUUCUUGUUCAUCGUCAAACAUAUAACAAAUCCAACCAAAAAAAAAGAAACAAGAAUUUGAUCCCUAAUCUGGUUUAUUUUUAAUAGACAGCUGAAGAGUUAUCUUUAACGGGCCAUGACUUUAGAGAUAUGUGGUGGAAAUUUUGUUUGAUUGCGGAAAGGGGAUUUCUUUUCAAUAAUGCAAGUUAUCUUUUUUCAAUAUCAUAACUUUUUAUCUAAAAGCUUACAAAAUUGAAAAGGUUAUCGCACGAUUCAAUGAAAUUGAAAUUCAUGAACAAAAUUCAAUAUUAACUUAAUAUUGUAAUGAUAAAUUUAUCCUUAAUCUCAAUAUAUUUUUAGAAUUUUUUUAAAAAUUUUCCUAUUUUAACUAUUGUUAUGGACAUGGUGGUUGUUUAAAAAGUAAUGUUUAGCAUCUUUUCCAAGGUUAAAAGAUAAACACAGGACGAUUAGAACAAGGAAUGAAUAUCCAGAUGGUUUUAGUGCAGUGGACAAUCAGGCAAGGUUGGUUGGGUGGCUGCUAAUUGUUGUCCUGCAAUGGAGAAAACCUUCCUUGAAUGCAUAAGGCAACAAAUCCCCGUAUACCCUUUGUUUUUAAUUACAAUUGUCCAAUAAUGCAAAAUCAUACUUGGAGGGUAUCUUGCAACUGUGAUAAAUAAAGAAAGGCUAAAGGAGGUUUUGUUGGGGUUUGUAAUUGACGAGAAACUAGAUAAUAAAGAAUAAAUUUGGUGAUUUGAAUAUUUGUGUUAUGUAAAAUAUUAAAAUUAAUUAUAUUAUAUUUUAUAAAAAAUUAUGUAUUAUAAUUUAUAUUGAUAUGAAAAUAUAAAAUAUAUAUUUUUUAAUUUUAUUAAAUUUAUAUAUAAUUAUUGUUAAAUUUAUGUAUCAUAUUUAUAUAAUAUUAUUAUGUUAUAUAUUAAAUUAUCAAAUCUUACUAAAAACAAUCACAAUACAUUAGCCACACUCGGAAUAACCAAUAUUACAGAACAAAAAUUACUAACCGAUUACCACCAAACCAAAAAAUUUAUCCACUCUGUCCUGCCUUUGCCAAGGCAUCCGCCAUGCCUUAAGGCCUCUCUAUAAAGCAAUCCCAGACAUCAAAGCACCCAUUUCAGCAUAGAUAAGAUGUAGUACGUCUCCAUGGCCUUGGCCCCACCAAAAAUUAUAUAUUAAUUCAGUCGUUUUUGCUUUUGAAGUUUUUGUUUUAAACUUUCGUGCCCUUUAAUUUUUGAAAAAUAAAUGAACUUUCAUUAUCCAAUAUCAUGAUUCGACUAAAAACUUUCACUUUUUAGAUUGGACUACUUUUAAAAAACAUAUACAAGGCCUAGCGUGAUCUUUGAAAUUUUCAGUUUUUGGAUUUGACUGGUUUUUUAAAAACUUAAUCCAAGGCCUAGCCCGAUCUGAAGGAUCUAAAAGCCUGAAAUUUUUCGAACAAAAUUUUCAGGUAUAAGUUUUUUUUUUAAGAAAAUCCCUCCAUAUGUAAAUUCUUCUUUAUUCAUACCAUCUAUCAAACAUAGGAAAAGACAACUAAAAAUAUAAAAACCCCCUUAAUCAUCAUUUUAUUUGAUUAUAGUUUAUCAGAAUAGGAUAAUAAGUUCUCUUAAGGCAGAUACAACAAGAGCUGAAAGCAAACUGCCGAUUAACAAAGUAGAUAUUAUUGAAAAGAGGCCGUUGAAAUUGCAUCGCUUCAAUUUUUAGAAAGGAAAAACAUAGAGCUGGAGAACCUUUUGCCAGGAAGGUCUGCUGCUAAUAUCAUCCCACCAAUCACUCACAUGUUUCCUGCUCCUUAUCAUGUACUCCUUUCCCAUGUGUUCCACCAAGUACUGAGUAAAUGGCAGAUGGCUAAGGUCAGCUAGGCUGAAGAAAUCACCAGUUAAGUACUUGUGUCACGAAUUUAAAAAAGAGUCUUAAAUCUCACAUCGAACAUAAUAGGAGAGUUUUUGAGGU
rnacentral:lncRNA from 1 species